rnacentral:lncRNA from 1 species
CUAGCAUAACUACAUUGAAGGCAAGGAAACAUCCGGUUUACACCAGCCGAGGAUCUCGCUGAUAGUUUUACCCCUCUCAAUCACGAAAAGUGGUUAUGUUGGGACUCCCAGGAAAGGAUUAUUGUCUUCUGAAAAGCAUCAAAUGAAUUUCACAUCUUCUAGUCUCAGACAGUUGGUCUUUGGCUCAAUUAUGGAGAAAGGGUGAACUCUCAGCUACAGAAUCAGGCGGCCUUAUUCUCACACAGCAAGACACAAGGGGCUCUCACUGAAAUCAAGCUGGAUGUCACAUUUCAACAACAUAGAGCAAAGGAGUGGGGAAAAGAGAGGUGUGUUUUUAAGCAGGCCAAUGGAAUGAACUGUAAGUAAAUUAGUUUUCCAGUAAAUAUGUCCUGUAAUAAUAAUAUUGUGGCAUAUUAUUUUUAUGUAAUGGAGGAAAUGGUGGAAUAGGCAUAUGGAAAUACCUUUAAAGUUGAAAGAAGACACACAGCUGCUUGCAUCUAAAAUAUAGGGUCUGAUUCUCCGCUCACUUCCAUCAGCUUUAUGCUGGUGUAUCUUUACUAUCUUCAGCAGAGUUAGUCUUGACUUACACGAACAUAAGCUAGAGGAGAAUCAGGCCCAGCAAGUUCUGAAGUAAGGCCCCUGAUUCACUGAGGUACUUAAGUAUAUGAUGGAUUUUAAAUAGGGCUAGUUGGAAAACAACUAUUCUGUUUCAUUAGAAAUUUCAAGAUUUUGGCAUUUUCUUUAGUUCCAAAGUGGAACCCUGAGACUUUAUGAAUUUGUUUGAGAAGGGGAGAGAGAGCCUACCCAACCCAAAAUAUCCAAGUGAUUCAGGCACUCACCUGUGAUGUGGAAGAUACAGGUUUAAGACC